CAUUUCAUAUUCUCACAUGGCGACAGGAAAGACUAGUAAUUAUUAAGAACUUGGUAUUUCAAUUGCCCUACUCUUGGUACCAUCAAACUGUCUUUCCUGCCGUCCAGUCUUUAAAGAUGGGUAGUUUGCUAACUCCUCCUCCUUCCAUAUGCUUUACUCGAGCGAAAACGGCGACGAGGAGCCAGGCAGCCCGGCUGUCAGGCAGACUCAGAGAGAGACUCGUAGAGAGAGACACAGAGAGAAGAGAGCAGAGACCUCACUCACCUGGGAAGGUUCCUACAAUUUUGAUUCGUCCGACAUGCCUGUCUUAGGCUAAAGGCUUUUAUUGGGAUCCCUGGUCUACGUCACCCUCUUGUGAACAUCUGCCAAAAUCCAUCUGUAACGCCUUUGUGCAUGGUUCGACAAUGGUGAUUUAGCUUUCGGACUAGUAACUCUAGCUUAUUCAUAAAUUCACCUUGUUAACGCUUGGGAUGGUGUUUGGUUUCGGUGUAUCGGCC